UAGGGAAUCUUCGGCAAUGGGGGCAACCCUGACCGAGCAACGCCGCGUGAGUGAAGAAGGUUUUCGGAUCGUAAAGCUCUGUUGUAAGAGAAGAACGUGUGUGAGAGUGGAAAGUUCACACAGUGACGGUAACUUACCAGAAAGGGACGGCUAACUACGUGCCAGCAGCCGCGGUAAUACGUAGGUCCCGAGCGUUGUCCGGAUUUAUUGGGCGUAAAGCGAGCGCAGGCGGUUUAAUAAGUCUGAAGUUAAAGCCAGUGGCUUAACCAUUGUUCGCUUUGGAAACUGUUAAACUUGAGUGCAGAAGGGGAGAGUGGAAUUCCAUGUGUAGCGGUGAAAUGCGUAGAUAUAUGGAGGAACACCGGUGGCGAAAGCGGCUCUCUGGUCUGUAACUGACGCUGAGGCUCGAAAGCGUGGGGAGCAAACAGG
rnacentral:rRNA from 1 species